GCCAGGUAUGGUGGCGCACGCCUGUAAUCCCAGUAGCUCAGGAGGCUGAGGCAGGAGGAUAGCGAGUUCAAAGCCAGUCUCAGCAAGAGCACUGAGUUGCUUGAGACCCUGUCUCAU
rnacentral:sRNA from 1 species